CAGUGAUUUUGACAAUGUUUGCUCUCCAACAACAUGGGCAAAGAGAAGCUGUAUAGGUUGUGAGGGCUUGAAGGCAACAGCUAUGACAACUCAACUAGAGACACUCAUGAAAGAGGAUUUCCAGAACUUCUUCUUUGCAGAUGCCAAG